AGAGCCAGCGAAGCAGUUGCGGAAAGUAUCGCUGCGGCGAUGGUUUCUGAGGAAAGUCCGGGCACCCGAAAGACGCAAACUUGCUGGGUAACGCCCAGUGCGAGCGAUCGUGAGGAUAGUGCCACAGAAAAAUACCGCCGGGUCAAUUGACUCAAUUUUCCCGGUAAGGGUGCAAAGGUGCGGUAAGAGCGCACCAGCAGCAUCGAGAGGUGCUGGCUCGGUAAACCCCGGUUGGGUGCAAGGUGGUGGGAGUAUGGUUGGUCUUUUUCCAGUCCCAUGCCAUCGGCUACGGCUGAUGGAGAACCGCUUGAGGUAGUAGGUAACUGCUAUCCCAGAUAGAUAACUGCACUACUUAAGCCUGGCUUUGGUAGAACAGAACCCGGCUUAUGUCUGACUCUUCCC
rnacentral:RNase_P_RNA from 1 species